GCGUCACCGGUCGGCUGGAGUUUGGCUUCUUCUUCUCCGCGGGUUUCAGGAUCUGCCGAAAAAAAGGAGAAGGGACACAAAACAGCCAGCAAAAUGGACGACAGAAGGCAGGAGAACUUCAUGUACAAGUCACCUGGAGAAUCUGCUCUCCUGAUAGAUUGACUGGGGAAGGUUGUUCCUCCACUUGGGGAUGAAGACACAGGACAGCCAGGGCCGUGAGGAGAGACUGCAGGGUGCUCAGAGAGACUGCAAGGAGCUCAGGGAGACUGCAGGGUGCUCAGAGACACGGGACAGCCAGCUGGUGAGAUCUGGCGUGUGAUGUCAUCACAGCGUGAAGACAGGAAGGGGCAGCACCAUUCACAGCUCGGUAUGCCUGUGUCAGUGAUAUGAAAUGAGUGUGGGCAGCUACCGGAAGCUAGCGAAGGGUGCUCAAAAUGCGGGGCGGCGUGAGUGACUUUGGGCUGGCUGAAGGUUGAAGACAGCGGCAUUCUGGGCCGGUCUCAGCAGCCUGACGGCACGGGCCGCUACGCAGGCCAGAAGGGUGUUGCGGCGCUCCAGGAGAGAGGUCGCGUGGGCUUGCGCACGUAGCUGCGCUGCCUCUCGGGUGAGGACGUGGUGGAUUUUUCCCAUGUUGUGAAUGGAGAAGCGGCAGGACGCUGUGGUCGCCGCUGUGACUCCGAAAGACCUCAGCUAGUCCUCCAAGGACACAGCAAUUUCAUUACAUGAGUUCAGCUACCCUGGUCAGUACCACAGUCUGAGCCCGUUCCCACCCUGCCUGUACCACACUGCCUACCCUGGUCUGUACCACAGUACCUAUCCUGGUCUGUCCCACAGUGCCUACCCUGGUCUGUACCACAGUGUCUACCCUGGUCUGUCCCACAGUGCCUACCCUCGUCUGUACCACAGUGUUGACCCUGGCUUGUACUCCAGUCUACGUUCACAGGAGGACAACAGACAGUUGGCACUGGAACAUGUGUGCAGCCCAGUUGAGAAAUCAGAAUAAGGAGAGGCAGGAACAACGCCCCGCAAGAGCUGAUAAGAUAACCCUUCAGUGCGUCAGUCUCUCUGGCUCAGAGACAAUCGCCAUAAAUCGCACAUGGCCUGUCAAAGCUAGCCUUCAAAGGCCACCACUCCACUGAGACCUAGCCCACUGUUUUAAGGACAAACAAGAGCUGAACUGUCAGCCCAACCUUCAAGCAUAACAGAGCACAGCAAAAUA